rnacentral:rRNA from 1 species
ACAGCAGCAGCCGCGGGAAUACGAAGGGGGCUAGCGUUGUUCGGAUUUACUGGGCGUAAAGCGCACGUAGGCGGAUCGUUAAGUCGGGGGUGAAAUCCUGGAGCUCAACUCCAGAACUGCCUUCGAUACUGGCGAUCUUGAGUCCGGAAGAGGUGAGUGGAACUCCUAGUGUAGAGGUGGAAUUCGUAGAUAUUAGGAAGAACACCAGUGGCGAAGGCGGCUCACUGGUCCGGUACUGACGCUGAGGUGCGAAAGCGUGGGGAGCAAACAGGAUUAGAUACCCCAGUAGUCCCUGUCUCUUAUAC